rnacentral:lncRNA from 1 species
GGAACAACAAUAUGAACUAACCAGUACCCCCAGAGCUGUGUCUCUAGCUGCAUAUGUAGCAGAGGAUGGCCUAGUUGGAAGAGAGGUCUUGCAAAGAUUAUAUUCCCCAGUACAGGGGAAUGCCAGAGCCAGGAAGCGGGAGUGGGUGGGUUGGUGAGCAGGGCAGAGGGAGGGUAUAGGGGACUUUCGGGAUAGUAUUUGAAAUGUAAAUGAAGAAAAUGUGUAGUAAAAAAUUGUAAAAAGGAAAAAGAAAUAAAUAGCCAUGGAUCCACUGAUCAUGAGCUGCAGUGGUUCUGAGGAAGAGCGGCGUGUUCUCUUAUGUUCUAAGCACUUGGCCAGAGAGCAGGUGAGCUGUUAUUAGAGCAGCCUUGGCAGUCAGUUUGAGCAUAAUUUCCUGGCCUCAGAAGGUUGAAUAGCAUUGAUAUCCUUUAAGUGUGGAUACUUGCUUCAUAAGAUUGUCUUUACUAAAGCAUGCACAAAAUGCAUAAGUAAUUAUGAAAUAUUUUAAAUUACUUAUUUAUUAAUCACUCAAAUAUUACGAACACAUAUUACUUGUCUACUCUAGUCACUGUCUAAGUCAAAUGACUGUCACACUAUUUAUCAAAACCUCUCUGUAAAAAGUUUCUUGAUUUUCUAUGAAGGGAGAACAGUUCAUUAUAUCAAAAUGGUCACAUAAGAUUGAUCAUGAUAUCUAUUAAAUUCAGUCCAAUCUUAAUAAACUAAGAAUAUUGUUAAGCUAUAUAAGAUAUAUACAUUUCUAAAAUGGUAUAUAGUUCUAAUUCCUGUGUUAGCUAUAGCCGUUGAAAAACCAUUGUUAAAAUGUUAUCUCCCAGCACCUAGGGAUGCAGGAAACAGUGCUUUUAGUCUGCUAUUCUGGAAUGUUCUUCUGUUCAUCACUCACAUCUUUAUUUAAACUUAACUUCUUCAGAGCAGGCUUCUCUGAGCUUCCCCUGCUCCUGCACUGGAUAACCACUCCUGCACCUUUUCAUGCAUACAUCACACUGGGGAUUACUUGUGCUAUCUCUGUCUUAUGUAAAAUAAAACUUGGAGAUUUUCUGAUACGUAGGCCAUUUUGAGAAAGGAACGUUCAUGUAAUGAGCUGCAAUGUAGAUGAUUUUAAAUGUAAUUAUAUUGUAGGCCAAUAAAUAGUUUGUCUGGAAUAUUAUCUUGAGUUUUUCCUUAUCUAUCUUACUCGUCUGGGCCAUAUGAUUCCUUACAUUCUGUAGAGAAGUAAAGAUGUCUGUGAUGAAUUGCCUUUAUUUUACUUAAAAUAAUAAAAGCGGACACAUUGUCUUAUUAUCCCUAGUGUUUUUGGGAUGUGUCAUGCUGUCAUACAGGGUAGGCAUUUAUAUUUGAGGAACACAAGUUUCCACUGCAGAGUCAGGUUUCAGAUCCAGUUAUUUCUACUUACAGUGUCCACUGAAAGCUGGUUAGCUGUGAACUUCUUUUGGAUAUAGAGGUAAUUUAUAGUCACCCUUUUAAUAAAUACAACUGGUCAGGUGAUGUCUUUGGGUUUUUAUCCAUUUUUUAAUAUAAUUGUCUUCUGCAAGAUAAGAUUUCAAAGGAGGCUUUCCAACAUUGGAGAAAAAAAUUUUCUGGACACAUUUAUAAGACUGUCCUUACUGGUUUUUAGGAUAAUCUGAAACGAUAUUUAAGGAAUAACUGAACUGUCAAGGCCAUAAUAGUACUUAAUUUCAAAUAAAAGACAAAGUCAAGCCACUAACAAUUUUCUCAGAUUUCUAACUUUACCUAAUUUUUAUGUAUGCAUAUGGUUGAUUGUCACUAAAAUUUAUAUAAAAAACACUAGAAAUAACUGGGAACAGCGGACCCAGGCACCCAGGAACUCUGCCAAAACAGUGGCACAGUUCCUUCCGGUCUUAGCUGGUGCCCUGAGCCGACCUUGGGCGUGAACUCACAGCCAGUCCCAUAACACCCAGAGGAAGCUCCACUCCCAGGAGCUCUAACACUCCCAGAUCAUAGGAUCAGAGGUGAGGAAGACAACAUCAAACCAAUACUGGGGAGUAACUGGGACCAGUGGGACCCACCCAGGCACCCAGGAACUCCAUCUGACCAGUGGCAAGGGUUCCUUCCAGUUUGGACAGGUGCCCUGAGCAGACCUUGGGCACUAACUCCAAAGCCAGUCCCACAAAACCCAGAAGAAGCUCCACUCCCAGGAGCUCUAACAUGCCCAGGACCACAGGAUAACAGGAUCCCAGGACCUUGUUCAUACCAGGAUCUCAGGGUCCCAGAGGCAGCUUGACUUUCAGGAGCUCUGACACACCUUGGUCCUCAGGAUCACAGGAUCACAGAGACAGCUGAAUUCUGAGGAGUUCUGACACAACCAGGAUCACAGGAAGAGCAGGCUCCAUUGAGAUUUAGUGAGGGGAGGUAGCAUUAGAGAUAAUCAGAUGUUGAGAGGCAGGUGUAACAUAAGCAACAGAAACCAAGGUUACUUGGCAUCAUCAGAAACCAAUUCUCCCACCAUAGCAAGUCCUGGAUACACCAUCAUGCUAAAAAAGCAAGAUUUGGAUCUAAAAUCACUUCUCAUGAGGACUUUAAGAAGGACACGAAUAACUCCCUUAAAGAAAUACAGGAGAACACAGGUAAACAGGUAAAAGCACUUAAAGAGGAAACAUGAAAAUCCCUUAAAGAAUUAAUGGAAAACACAACUGUACUGGCUAGUUUUGUGUCAACUUGACACAGCUGGGGUUAUCACAGAGAAAGGAGCUUCAGUUGAGGAAAUGCCUCCAUGAGAUCCAACUCUAAGGCAUUUUCUCAAUUAGUGAUCAAGGGGGAAAGGCCCCUUGUGGGUGGGACGAUCUCUGGGCUGGUAGUCUUGGUUCUAUAAGAGCAGGCUGAGCAAGCCAGGGGAAGCAAGCCAGUAAAGAACAUCCCUCCAUGGCCUCUGCAUCAGCUCCUGCUCCUUGACCUGCUUGAGUUCCAGUCCUGACUUCCUUUGGUGAUGAACAGCAGCAUGGAAGUGUAAGCCGAAUAAACCCUUUCCUCCCCAACUUGCUUCUUGGUCAUGAUGUUUGUGCAGGAAUAGAAACCCUGACUAAGACAAAUUGGUACCAGCAGAGUGGGGUAUUCCUGUGACAACCUGACCAUGUUUUGGGGAGGUCUGUGGAAGGACUUUGGAACUUUGGUCUUGAAGAUCCAUUCGUUGUUAAGAGCUCUGUGGGAUGUUGUGUAGGAGCUUGGAAGAUAAUGUUGAGAACAGUGUAGAAGAUGGAGGCCUGGCUUGUGAAAUUUCAGAGGGAAAAUUAAAGACUCUUUUCAGGGCCAUUGCUGUUUUGAUUGUGAAGAUUCUGUAGUUCUGGUUAGCUGGGGCUGAAGAAUCAGCUGUGAUUAACAAGAUACCAGAACUACCAAAGCAAAAACUUUGCAUUACUGGGACUAUUGAUGCUGGUUAGCUGGAGCUAAGAAAUUAGCGGUGAUUAAGAAGAGACCAGCAUCAUUGAGGUGACAUCUUCUGGGAAGUGUUUUCUGAGAGCACAGUGGCUGUGUUCCAGAUAUAGCCAAAGUUGUACCUUGUGCUGUGGCUGGACUUGGUAAUGUGUAAGGGUCACCCAGGUGGUACUGGUUUGAAGGCAUGAAGGAGUUGAGUAGAGCAGCUGAGGCUUGGCACUGUGAGAGGCCAUGGAAGGCCAUUGGUGAAAGUCCAGCCUCAGUUGCAAUUAAUGGCCCAGGACUGAAGGGGUCAUGCAGUGUUUUGGAGAUGCCAGUACCAUGAGAUGACCACCAAGAGCAGCAGCAGCAGUGGAGUACAGGCAUCUGGAGCCUAGAGGAUGACGCGUGUGCUACAAAGGGCAUGGCUGGAGAAGUGACCCAAGCCCUUGGAGGAGCCCAGAAGAUCGUAAGUUGGAUCCCAGACAUUGGACGGUUGGAGAUUGACUUUUGCUUUUGAUUGUGGCUGUGCCCUGAUAUUUUCCCUCUUGAAGGAAGAAACUGUUUUAGUGGAGCCCACAGUUAAGAGACUUUUAAUUGUAAAAAGACUUUGGAUUUUAAAAGAGAUGGAUAUUUUAAAGAGAUUGAAAAUUUAAGAAUAUGUAAAGACUGUGGGACUUUUAAAGUUGUUUAGAUCUUGGGGAUGAAUAAGAAUGUAAGGGUUGAGGCUUACUAGUGAUGUGUUUGUGUGUCAAGUUGACAAGGGGUCAAUUGUACUGGCUAGUUUUGUGUCAACUUGACACAGCUGGGGUUAUCACAGAGAAAGGAGCUUCAGUUGAGGAAAUGCCUCCAUGAGAUCCAACUCUAAGGCAUUUUCUCAAUUAGUGAUCAAGGGGGAAAGGCCCCUUGUGGGUGGGACGAUCUCUGGGCUGGUAGUCUUGGUUCUAUAAGAGCAGGCUGAGCAAGCCAGGGGAAGCAAGCCAGUAAAGAACAUCCCUCCAUGGCCUCUGCAUCAGCUCCUGCUCCUUGACCUGCUUGAGUUCCAGUCCUGACUUCCUUUGGUGAUGAACAGCAGCAUGGAAGUGUAAGCCGAAUAAACCCUUUCCUCCCCAACUUGCUUCUUGGUCAUGAUGUUUGUGCAGGAAUAGAAACCCUGACUAAGACAACAACCAAACAGAUGAAGGAAAUGAACAAAACCAUUCAAGAUCU